rnacentral:rRNA from 1 species
ACGAUGAUCAGGAGCUUGCUCCUGUGAUUAGUGGCGAACGGGUGAGUAACACGUGAGUAACCUGCCCCUGACUCUGGGAUAAGCGUUGGAAACGACGUCUAAUACUGGAUAUGACUACUGGUCGCAUGGCCUGGUGGUGGAAAGAUUUUUUGGUUGGGGAUGGACUCGCGGCCUAUCAGCUUGUUGGUGAGGUAAUGGCUCACCAAGGCGACGACGGGUAGCCGGCCUGAGAGGGUGACCGGCCACACUGGGACUGAGACACGGCCCAGACUCCUACGGGAGGCAGCAGUGGGGAAUAUUGCACAAUGGGCGAAAGCCUGAUGCAGCAACGCCGCGUGAGGGAUGACGGCCUUCGGGUUGUAAACCUCUUUUAGUAGGGAAGAAGCGAAAGUGACGGUACCUGCAGAAAAAGCACCGGCUAACUACGUGCCAGCAGCCGCGGUAAUACGUAGGGUGCAAGCGUUGUCCGGAAUUAUUGGGCGUAAAGAGCUCGUAGGCGGUUUGUCGCGUCUGCUGUGAAAUCCCGAGGCUCAACCUCGGGCUUGCAGUGGGUACGGGCAGACUAGAGUGCGGUAGGGGAGAUUGGAAUUCCUGGUGUAGCGGUGGAAUGCGCAGAUAUCAGGAGGAACACCGAUGGCGAAGGCAGAUCUCUGGGCCGUAACUGACGCUGAGGAGCGAAAGCAUGGGGAGCGAACAGGAUUAGAUACCCUGGUAGUCCAUGCCGUAAACGUUGGGCGCUAGAUGUAGGGACCUUUCCACGGUUUCUGUGUCGUAGCUAACGCAUUAAGCGCCCCGCCUGGGGAGUACGGCCGCAAGGCUAAAACUCAAAGGAAUUGACGGGGGCCCGCACAAGCGGCGGAGCAUGCGGAUUAAUUCGAUGCAACGCGAAGAACCUUACCAAGGCUUGACAUACACCGGAAACGGCCAGAGAUGGUCGCCCCCUUGUGGUCGGUGUACAGGUGGUGCAUGGUUGUCGUCAGCUCGUGUCGUGAGAUGUUGGGUUAAGUCCCGCAACGAGCGCAACCCUCG